CCUACGGGAGGCAGCAGUGAGGAAUAUUGGACAAUGGGCGCAAGCCUGAUCCAGCCAUGCCGCGUGCAGGAAGAAGCAUCUAUGGUGUGUAAACUGCUUUUGUACAGGAAGAAACACUCCCCCGUGAGGGAGCUUGACGGUACUGUAAGAAUAAGGACCGGCUAACUCCGUGCCAGCAGCCGCGGUAAUACGGAGGGUCCGAGCGUUAUCCGGAAUCAUUGGGUUUAAAGGGUCCGUAGGCGGUUUAAUAAGUCAGUGGUGAAAUCUGGUCGCUCAACGAUCAAACGGCCAUUGAUACUGUUAGACUUGAAUUAUAAGGAAGUAACUAGAAUAUGUAGUGUAGCGGUGAAAUGCUUAGAUAUUACAUGGAAUACCAAUUGCGAAGGCAGGUUACUACUUAUGGAUUGACGCUGAUGGACGAAAGCGUGGGGAGCGAACAGGAUUAGAUACCCUGGUAGUCCACGCCGUAAACGAUGGAUACUAGCUGUUCGGAGCAAUCUGAGUGGCUAAGCGAAAGUGAUAAGUAUCCCACCUGGGGAGUACGUUCGCAAGAAUGAAACUCAAGUAGUAGUAGGCGUGAGAGAGACGACGACGACGACGACGGAGGAGGAG
rnacentral:rRNA from 1 species